GGAUUAGGCAUGCAAGUCGAACGGACCCUUCGGGGUCAGUGGCGAACGGGUGAGGAAUAGAUGGAUAACGUACCCUGGACAYGGGGAUAGCGGCGGGGCUUCGGUCCCUUUGCGAAAGUGCCGGUAAUACCCGAUGACCCCGWGUGGUCGCAUGACCGUGCGGGCAAAUGCUCCGACGGUCUGGGAUCGGUCCAUCUCCUAUCAGCUUGUUGGUGAGGUAACGGCUCACCAAGGCAUCGACGGGUAGCGGGCGUGAGAGCGUGGCCCGCCACAUCGGGACUGAGACACUGCCCGGACACCUACGGGUGGCUGCAGCAACGAAUAUUCCGCAAUGGACGAAAGUCUGACGGAGCGACGCGCGUGCAGGAAGAAGUCCUUCGGGAUGUAAACUGCUGUCAGGGGCUAGGAAUACCGACCAGCCCCAGAGGAAGCACCGGCUAACUCCGUGCCAGCAGCCGCGGUAAUACGGAGGGUGCAAGCGUUGUUCGGAAUUACUUGGGCUUAAAGCGCGUGUAGGCGGGACGGCAAGUGUCGGGUGAAAGCCCACGGCUCAACCGUGGAACCGCUCGGCAAACUGCCGCCUUGAGGCAGGUAGAGGUGACUGGAACGCUGGUGGAGCGGUGAAAUGCGUAGAUAUCAGUUGGAACGCAGAGGGAAAGCGGGUCACUGGGCCUGUCCUUACGUGAGACGUGAAAGUGGGGGAGCAAACAGGAUUAGAUACCCUGGUAGUCCACGCCGUAAACGAUGCG
rnacentral:rRNA from 1 species